rnacentral:misc_RNA from 1 species
GCAGGAGAGGAAAUAAGGGGAGAAUGAUAUUUGGGUCUAGCCGGUGGGGGAGUUUUAGAAGGAAUAAAGAGGUGGUUGAAGGCAGUGUUGACUUUUCAUCUUCCCCAGUUUUUGAUAGUGGUGAUGGUGGUCUUAGUACAAAGGUGAAAAUCACAAGGAUUAGAAGGAAGUCCAGCUUCUUGAGUUUCUCUUCCACAAGAUCACAUUUGUGGACAAACAUCUAUGAAAGCUUUAAGCAGGUGGUCCCAUGGAGACGUAGGCAGCAGAGAAAUUGAGACAGAUAAUAAGCCAGUAAUUUAUCACCAAAUGCCAACUUUUGAUCUUCUAGACCUGGUAAAGUCCAAUUCCAAGUGGUGUGCUCUAAUUCCCCUGCCAUGUUUGGUUGAAAUUUUGUAUAUAUAGGAACAAUGUUGAAGACAAUAGUUCCUGCUUAGUUAAUUUGAUAAUGUAAUAAUAUUUGGAUAAAUGCUGCCAACUUAGU